rnacentral:rRNA from 1 species
AAAUUGAAGAGUUUGAUCAUGGCUCAGAUUGAACGCUGGCGGCAGGCCUAACACAUGCAAGUCGAACGGUAACAGGAAGAAGCUUGCUUCUUUGCUGACGAGUGGCGGACGGGGGAGUAAUGUCUGGGAAACUGCCUGAUGGAGGGGGAUAACUACUGGAAACGGUAGCUAAUACCGCAUAACUCGCAAGACCAAAGAGGGGGACCUUCGGGCCUCUUG